GGCUGUGGCCAGUGUGCUGUGAGAACAAAGUCACAUCACUUCUUGGUCUUUUGGCGCAGACCAAGUGAGAGCAAAGUCACUACGCUGCGUCCGCAAGAUUCCAUUCUGUCUACGUGCUAAGAGAAGAGUCGGAGCAUGUGGAGUACUGAUCAGGGCAUCUGUGCAAGAGAAAACAUGAGUAACUCUGUAAAGACACAUGUGCAAGGAUUUCAUGACACACUCAUUUGUGGUCCAGGAUCCGGCAUUGAUGCAUGAUGGAAAACCAGUGCACAAGAUGCCAGCAGCCCACAUGUGUGCCUGUGGAAUCCUGUCCACUACUCCACCUCUGACAGCAGCUCCCCUGUCAUGACCGGGGGAAACAGUGGAAGAUGGCCCAAGUCCUCAGGCUCCUGCACCUAUGUGGGAGAC